rnacentral:rRNA from 1 species
AGAGUUUGAUCAUGGCUCAGAUUGAACGCUGGCGGUAGGCUUAACACAUGCAAGUCGUGCGAGAAAGUAUCUUCGGAUAUGAGUAGAGCGGCGGACGGGUGAGUAACGCGUAGGAAUCUACCUAGUAGAAGGGGAUAGCCCGGGGAAACCCGGAUUAAUACCGUAUACCUCCUUCGGGAGAAAGAAGGCCUCUCUUUGAAGCUUUCGCUAUUAGAUGAGCCUGCGUAAGAUUAGCUUGUUGGUGAGGUAAAGGCUCACCAAGGCGACGAUCUUUAGCUGGUCUGAGAGGACGAUCAGCCACAUUGGGACUGAGACACGGCCCAGACUCCUACGGGAGGCAGCAGUGGGGAAUAUUGGACAAUGGGCGCAAGCCUGAUCCAGCCAUACCGCGUGUGUGAAGAAGGCCUUCGGGUUGUAAAGCACUUUAAGCAGGGAGAAAAAGUAUAAGU